rnacentral:misc_RNA from 1 species
GAAAUGCGAUAAGUAAUGUGAAUUGCAGAAUUCAGUGAAUCAUCGAAUCUUUGAACGCAACUUGCGCUCCUUGGCAUUCCGAGGAGCAUGCCUGUUUGAGUGUCAUGAAACUAUCAAGCUACAAAUGUUCUUGUUAGCAUUUGUUGGUUUGGACAUUGGAUGCUUUGCUGGACAAUAUUGUACAGCUCAUCCGAAAUUUAUUAGCUGGUCUAAAUACCUUGGACUAUAUCCACUUGGCGUGAUAAGUAUCACCCGCUGAGGACUUGUUCAUUGGAGGUUGACUGCUUCUAGUAACCCAAUUAUAUUUGAAUCAUCUGACCUCAAAUCAGGUAGGACUACCCGCUGAACUUAA